UUUACGGAGAGUUUGAUCCUGGCUCAGGAUGAACGCUGGCGGCGUGCUUAACACAUGCAAGUCGAACGGUGAAAGAGAGCUUGCUCUCUGGAUCAGUGGCGAACGGGUGAGUAACACGUGAGCAAUCUGCCCCUGACUCUGGGAUAACAGCUGGAAACAGCUGCUAAUACCGGAUACGAGCUGCGAAGGCAUCUUCAGCAGCUGGAAAGAAUUUCGGUCAGGGAUGAGCUCGCGGCCUAUCAGCUUGUUGGUGAGGUAAUGGCUCACCAAGGCGUCGACGGGUAGCCGGCCUGAGAGGGUGACCGGCCACACUGGGACUGAGACACGGCCCAGACUCCUACGGGAGGCAGCAGUGGGGAAUAUUGCACAAUGGG
rnacentral:rRNA from 1 species